CCAAAUGAUUCUAUAUAGUUCCCUAAACGCGUCCACCUCGAUACUUCUUCCGGUCUAAACGGGAUACCAGGGGAAUAUGUAUGACUGAUCGAGAUCCACGGCCUCGUUCGAUGCCUAGUCAAUGGAAUUGAAUAGCUACGCGAUAUGGAAAGAAAUCUAUCUGGCUUCAAUCGAUCGAAUGGGAAAUUAAAUAUUUUUAAAACACGAAAAAUUGUGUAGAAAGAAAAUUGAAAGAUCGAAACAUUGUAGUUAAUAUUGGAUAUUAAGGUAUCUGUAGGACAGGAAACAAGGAAAGAUAUUUCUAACUUGUGUUUUGUGAAAAUUGUGAUUCACAAAAUAAGUAACGAUUAUUACAAGUACUAUUUUAAAGAUAACUAUAAAAUUUUGCUUAUACAUGAUGAUAAAAUAAAAUAUAUUGCGCUGAAUAAAUCAGGGACUAUUUUCUAGAAAACUAAAAAAAGAUAAACUGGAUUUAUAAGCAGAUGAUGCAUCCUUCUGAAAGUACAAACAUUAAACUGUAAAGACUAAUUGUAUAAUAAGGAGACACUUAAAUUUUUCUUUAUGCGUGCCCAAAGUUUCACAUGUUUUACAAUCUUUCAUUUUAUUUGUAACCAAAUGUAAAGAAAUUUUGUUACAACAUUCUAAAGUAGUGAACUUUCUCAUACAGCAACAACGAGACUGCGGAUAGAUAGAAUAGAUAGAACUAUGUAUGUAUACAUAAAGUCAUAGCUCAACAUGGUUCGAUAUUGCAUCAUAAAACUAGAACGUCUCUGUCUCUCCAAUUUUGAAUCAAGCAAUUUAUUUUAUGCACCUAUUAUAUGUAUUAUCUAAUAAUAAAAUAAAUCUGACUAAACAAUUUGUACAAUUAUUUUCAUAGAAAUAAUUGAUAAAAAAAAAUUAUUUGUUUCUGUUACUGUAUCGUAAAUAUUUUUAUCUUCGAAAUAAUUGCAUUUUUUGCUGAGUAACUAAAAAGAAAUAUAUGAUUUAAAUCUUUAUAAAUUCUUAAAUUGUCCAAAGUUAUAAAUAUUUGGAAACCACCGAAAGACCUUUUCUGCAAAUAUAAAAAUACUGUUAUACAUCAGCAAGAACUAGGGAUUAUUCACUUUAUAUGAUAUCAUGAAGAAAUAUAUACCAAUAUAAAAAGAUCGUAUCUCCAAUCUUGCCACAACCAUAGAAUUUUCUGAAAGUGUUCUUUCACGUAUUAUGCGAUUAUCUCAGGAAAUAUUAAACUAUAGUUUACAAUACAAAAAAUGACUAACAAUAAUUUACAUUUUGUAACAGACACCGUAAAAACAAAAUGUUUACAUAAAAUUCAAUAAUUAUCCAGUUUGAAACAAAGUUUAGCUUACAACUUUUUUUAACUUCCACUAUAAUUCGAUAAAUAUUCCAAAUUACAAGAAUCUAAACGAAAAGCAGCUGACAUAAAUAUGCAAGAAGCGAAAUUUAAAAGCUGAUUAAAAGUACGGUUAGUAUCUUUGGAUUUUCAAAGCAAGCACAAGUAGUGAUGCAUCUCGUACAAUUUUUAAACACAAUGAGGCAAAGUUUGAAAAUAUGAAUGGACUAUGUACUUUACUUUACACCUUUAAUUAAUAAUAUAUUUAUUAUUAAGAA